GAAACACUGAGGGGGAAAGAGUUCUGUGGAGCUGGGGUGAGGAUGUGUACUGCAUCAAGAAUGUGUGUAUCAGCAGAGUGGCUUCACAAGGAAGGAGUGGGGAGCAAUGGAGUCACGCUGAGGCUGGCCAGGAGAGAGCUGGUGGAUUGGCAGCUUGGGUCAGAAGACGUGGGAGGGGAUGCCUCAAGGCAGAGUGGAUUAGACAACAACUGAAUAGGAGAAUAGGAGACUGACACUUUGAUGACUCAGGAAAGACAAGUCAUCUGAAAACCUGAGAGAUGUGAAAGAUCUGGUGAUGCUGAACAUGUGAAACUAAGGGAAGCUGCCACAAGGCAAGUUUUGUUGUCUGAUGGGAC
rnacentral:lncRNA from 12 species